UACGUGAGGGGCUAGCGUUGUCCGGAAUCAUUGGGCGUAAAGAGCGCGUAGGCGGCUAGAUAAGUCCGGUGUGAAAGUCGCAGGCUCAACCUGUGAAUGCCGCUGGAAACUGUCUGGCUAGAGUCCGGAAGGGGCGAGUGGAAUUCCUGGUGUAGCGGUGAAAUGCGCAGAUAUCAGGAGGAACACCAAUGGCGAAGGCAGCUCGCUGGGACGGUACUGACGCUGAGGCGCGAAAGCGUGGGGAGCAAACAGG
rnacentral:rRNA from 1 species